CAGCCGCCGCGGUAAUACCGAGGGUGCGAGCGUUAAUCGGAUUUACUGGGCGUAAAGCGUGCGUAGGCGGCUUCUUAAGUCGGAUGUGAAAUCCCUGAGCUUAACUUAGGAAUUGCAUUCGAUACUGGGAAGCUAGAGUAUGGGAGAGGAUGGUAGAAUUCCAGGUGUAGCGGUGAAAUGCGUAGAGAUCUGGAGGAAUACCGAUGGCGAAGGCAGCCAUCUGGCCUAAUACUGACGCUGAGGUACGAAAGCAUGGGGAGCAAACAGGAUUAGAUACCCCGUAGUUCCUGUCUCUUAUACA
rnacentral:rRNA from 1 species